UACAGAGGGUGCAAGCGUUGCUCGGAAUCAUUGGGCGUAAAGGGCAAGUAGGUGGUCUCAUUUGUCUUGUGUGAAAUCCUUGGGCUUAACUCAAGAAGUGCGCAAGAAACGGUGAGACUCGAGUUCUGGAGAGGGUCGUGGAAUUCCCGGUGUAGCGGUGAAAUGCGUAGAGAUCGGGAGGAACACCAGUGGCGAAGGCGGCGAUCUGGGAAGAUACUGACGCUGAGGUGCGAGAGCGUGGGGAGCGAACCGG
rnacentral:rRNA from 1 species